GGCGGGUCCGGGUCCGCUGCCUGGCGCUGCGGACGGCGGGCCAUGGUGGUUUGGAUUGAGCUGGGCCCGGCCGGGGCGCCGAGUCGGAGGGGGUGGCAGUGAGCGGCGGCAGAGGCUGCGGGGCUUGGUUUGGCUGACUGGGGAGUCGGCAGGCGGCAGGGCAGGAAUGAUAUCGCCACCGUCUCCAUCUGUAAGAAGUGCAUUUACCCCAAGCCAGCCCGAACACACCACUGCAGCAUCUGCAACAGGUGUGUGCUGAAGAUGGAUCACCACUGCCCCUGGCUAAACAAUUGUGUGGGCCACUAUAACCAUCGGUACUUCUUCUCUUUCUGCUUUUUCAUGACUCUGGGCUGUGUCUACUGCAGCUAUGGAAGUUGGGACCUUUUCCGGGAGGCUUACGCUGCCAUUGAGAAAAUGAAACAGCUCGACAAGAACAAACUACAGGCGGUUGCCAACCAGACUUAUCACCAGACCCCACCACCCACCUUCUCCUUUCGAGAAAGGAUGACUCACAAGAGUCUUGUCUACCUCUGGUUCCUGUGCAGUCGAGGUGAGACUAGCAUCGAAAGGCACAUCAACAAGAAGGAGAGACGUCGGCUACAGGCCAAGGGCAGAGUAUUUAGGAAUCCUUACAACUACGGCUGCUUGGACAACUGGAAGGUAUUCCUGGGUGUGGACACAGGAAGGCAUUGGCUUACUCGGGUGCUCUUACCUUCUAGUCACCUGCCCCAUGGGAAUGGAAUGAGCUGGGAGCCCCCUCCCUGGGUGACUGCUCACUCAGCCUCUGUGAUGGCAGUGUGAGCUGGACUGUGUCAGCCACAACUCGAGCACUCA
rnacentral:sRNA from 1 species